GAGUGUGUAGGAGAGAUUUAUCUAAAAAAAGUGGAAACAAGGAAACACUCAAUUUAGAUAAAUCAAUAA
rnacentral:sRNA from 21 species